UUCAAACACAACAGUUUUUUUUAUUCUCUUUAAUAAAUUAUAAUAUUUUAUGCAAACAAUUUUAUAUACAUCAAUAUUUAUAUCGAAAUAAAGAUCGUUACAACAAGAAUAUUAUAGAUGACAUGAAAUAUAUGACAUAAGAGGCAACAAAAUCUAUGGCCUGAGAAGCACUGCUUCAUAACACAUCACUUAAAGACAACAUAGAUGACAAACACAGACCAUGGCAUUAUGUCUAAUCAGGGGAAAUAAUCAGAGUUUAACUUCUGCAACAAUCAGAUCUUAGAUAAAAUAGUUCAACAAUUAAAACAACAUGGCAUAUAAAUAUAUGAACAAAUCAAGAGUUGUCUCCAACUCUGGGAAUACCAUUGCAUAGGUCAAGUGUGUACAGUGUAAGACUAAUACAAGAAAUAAAAAUAUUUAGGGACAUACACUGUAUUGAUCAGAAUACGGAGUGAUUGUUGUAUAGACCUGACAAUUUUUGUCUUCAGUGAGCUAGAGUGCAGAAUGGGAGUUAGACACAGAAAAAAGCUACUUUGUCUAAAAGCAUUUAGCAGAUGUGACAGAUAUGGUCUAAAAGUCUUUGAAUACAACAGAAUAAUGACAGAAAGAAGAAAUGCAAUGAUGUUUCACAGUGAAAUAAGAACACAUAUAUAUUGCCAACAUCAACAGUACAAAAAUAUAUACAUUUUGUAGAUACAUUGAGCAUACAUGCAGAGAAUAGAAAACUCUGUAAAUAGAUAUAAAAUAUAACAAUGAAAUAAUAAAUUAUAUCCCGUCAAUAUCCACAUUUUAAAUAAGAACAAAAUUAAAUACACAAUAAUUGAAAACAAAUAUUUGUCAUGAUAAUUUUUCUUUGCCAUAAAUACAAAAUUUUAUUCAGUUUCUUAAAUAUAUAAACAAAAAGACCUUACACAUCACAGCCAUACGUUUGAUUAUUUAUUUAUUUGGUUGUAAUAAUUAGAAUUUGUUUUAAGCAAUAUCACUCAGUUAGGUCACAAGAAAUUAUUUAACUAAAAAAAAUAUUGUGGGGUUUCCUCCCUGCCAGAAAAAGUGCAACAAACAGCCAACAGCUGAUGGAAACUUCGAAUAACGCUAUACGAAAUAAUAAUAAAAAAGCAUUAACAAAACUUCAGAAAACAAGAAACAGCUGAACAUGGUGAGACAUCAUUAUUGCUAUUUUCAGCAUGUCUUCCAUGCUCUUUGGGCCAUAAUGCACUGAGUAUGAUGCUCUUAAAUCAAGCUCAGUGCAUGAUGGUCCAAACUCUUUUGUGAACUUGUGGAGGAGGAGGUGGAGAGUACCUGGAAGACUUCCAAGCAACUAUCCCUAAUCUAAAUCAAGAUUUGAACUCUAGCCCCAGGUAGUUAGUUAGCAUAGCAGUUUAUACCAACUAGACGCCCAUUCUAUAAUGAACUAAUGGUACUGUUCUCAUAUCUAGUCAAUAAAUGCUCCAAAUAAAGUUUAUGAAAUCACAAACCCACACACACAUAACAAAUGAAAGCU